rnacentral:misc_RNA from 1 species
UCCCGGUUAACCCGGGCAGUCUCACUAGAGUUCCCACCAUAACGUGUUGGCAACUAAUGAUAAGGGUUGCGCUCGUUGCUGGACUUAACCAAACACCUCACGGCACGAGCUGACGACAGCCAUGCAGCACCUGUGCACAGGCCCCGAAGGGAAAUACCAUCUCUGGUAUCGUCCUGUGCAUGUCAAGCCUGGGUAAGGUUCUUCGCGUUGCAUCGAAUUAAACCACAUGCUCCACUGCUUGUGCGGGUCCCCGUCAAUUCUUUUGAGUUUCAGCCUUGCGACUGUACUCCCCAGGCGGUAUACUUAACGCGUUUGCUACGGCACAACCAGGGUUGAGUCCGGUUACACCAAGUAUACAUAGUUUACGGCAAGGACUAC